CCCUUCGUUUUCCAGUGUAGUGCGUUGAUUUCAUACCAAAGUCAUACUUAACAUUCCACUUAUACUGUCAAACCUCUGAGAAAUAUUACGGAAAACAACAAGGCGCCAAAUUUUAACAAACUAAGUCAAAGUGAGCCGCUGCUGUCUUUGAGGAGGAAAAAGGUGACUUUGAGAAGAAAAAAAGUUCAUACCUGGAUCACACUCUUCCAGCCUGGUUCCUCCGGAGGACUGCUGCAGGUUUACCUACAGGCUAAAAAGAGAGAGAGAGAGAGAGAGACAGACAAACAAAAAGCAUUUGGAGGAAUACACAACUUCAGUCUGGUUUGGACCUCUGCAUCCCAAAAGAUCUCCCACAGAUCCUUUGAUAUCGGGGCUCGGGGUCGGGCCCAGGGGGAGCCGCCACCAUUGCGUCCAACGAGUGGAGCGCCAACGGAAGCCCAGAAGAUGGGCUGGACGGGGACAACGAAGACAAGACCCUG